GACUCGGUGGUGUGGUACCUAUCUGUGCUUGAUUCCGUGUCGAAAAAGUAGAUGAAGCAGAUGAUGCCUGUUCAAAUCAGGCCCGAGUCA